rnacentral:rRNA from 1 species
CGGAUUGUAGUCUGCAACCCGACUACAUGAAGCUGGAAUCGCUAGUAAUCGCGAAUCAGAAUGUCGCCGGUGAAUACGUUCCCGGGUCUUGUACACACCGACCCGUCACACCAUGGGAGUCGGAAAUGCCCGAAGUCAGUGACCCAACCGUAAGGAGGGAGCUGCCGAAGGUGGAGCCGGUAACUGGGGUGAAGUCGUAACAAGGUAAC